UGUCUACUAAUUAUAGACCUGUAUGAACGGCAAAAUGAGGGCUUAACUGUCUCUUAUAAUAAAUCAAUUAAACUGAUCUCCUAGUAAAAAAGCUAGGAUACAAACAUAAGACCAGAAGACCCUGUGAAGCUUAAACUAAACUAUUAAAUCACAUAAUAGAUACUUUCGGUUGGGGCGACCUUGGAAACAAAAAGAACUUCCAAAUCAAAGACAUUCAAUCUACUAACCAGGCCAACAAGCCAAAAAAGACCCAGCAUUGCUGAUAAUUGAACCAAGUUACUCCAGGGAUAACAGCGCUAUCUUCUUCAAGAGCCCAUAUCAAAAAGAAGGUUUACGACCUCGAUGUUGGAUCAGGACAUCCUAAUGGUGCA
rnacentral:rRNA from 1 species